GCAUGUCUAAGUAUAAGCGAUCUUAUACGGCGAAACUGCGAAUGGCUCAUUAAAUCAGUUAUAGUUUAUUUGAUGGUCUCUCACCACUUGGAUAACCGUGGUAAUUCUAGAGCUAAUACAUGCGUCGAGUCCCGACUCUCGCGGAAGGGAUGUAUUUAUUAGAUUCAAAACCAAUGCGGGGCYCCGGUCCCGGUCUUUUGGUGAUUCAUAGUAACUGUUCGGAGCGCAGGGCCUCUUGCGCCGGCGCCGGAUCAUUCAAGUUUCUGCCCUAUCAACUGUCGAUGGUAAGGUAUUGGCUUACCAUGGUUGCAACGGGUGACGGAGAAUUAGGGUUCGAUUCCGGAGAGGGAGCCUGAGAAACGGCCACCACAUCCAAGGAAGGCAGCAGGCGCGCAAAUUACCCAAUCCCGACACGGGGAGGUAGUGACAAUAAAUAACAAUACAGGGCUUUCGUAAGUCUUGUAAUUGGAAUGAGAACAAUUUAAAUCCCUUAACGAGGAACAAUUGGAGGGCAAGUCUGGUGCCAGCAGCCGCGGUAAUUCCAGCUCCAAUAGCGUAUAUUAAAGUUGUUGCAGUUAAAAAGCUCGUAGUUGGAUUUCGGCGGCGCGGCGUCGGUCCGCCUGGCGGCGUGUCACUGGCGCCGCGCGGCUUUCUCUCGAGGGCCGCGCGUGCUCUUGAGUGAGCGUGCGCGUUACUCGGGACGUUUACUUUGAAAAAAUUAGAGUGUUCAAAGCAGGC
rnacentral:rRNA from 1 species